GAUUUCAACUGAAAAAGUCAUCAACAACAAAAUUGUAUAACUCAUCAAGAUCUAUAACUUCUAUUUUGGUUAUUUUUUCAUCCGACAAAGUGAUUUGUAACAUUGUUCAGAAAAUAUACAUAUCUCUUAUAGCUUUAUAAACUAUAAGAGAGAUAUGCAAAUUUUAAGGAUAUGUUACGAUCACUUUGUCGGAUGAAGAAAUGAUCAAAAUAGAAGUUAUAGAUCUUGAUGAGUUAUACAACUUUAUUAUUGAUGACUUUUUCAGCUGAAAUC
rnacentral:pre_miRNA from 1 species